rnacentral:lncRNA from 1 species
AUCUUGGUUUCCCAUGGUAACUGCUUUUUAUUAUGACAACUGACAAAGCCCCAGCUUCACAGAGAUGUGAAGUCAUGGAAAGAAUGCAGUGUGAAUUAGUUUUGAAACUGUGAGCUCUCCCAAGUUCGUAGCUUACACAACGCCUGAACAGAUAUUGAGUCUAGCUGCUUCCCUUGAAUCUUGAUGUCUCCCCCAGUGUCUUCAUGACUCCUCUUCAGCAACCUGGGGUGCCUCCAGUGCCAGAGCAGGCCCUGCUCGAGGUCCUGCUGGAGCCCUGUCUCCGGGCCCGGCCGCAGCAGGUGGAAAGGGAGUGGAGUCACUCUUAGCUGAAGCAGGAAGAGAACAACACCACGUGGGUAUUGCUAUCAUCCUCAUUCGGCAGAACCAGGAACGAGCGACAGAGGCUCCGUGUUACUGAAUCUUUGCUACGUGCCGGUCAUCACACUAAGAAAAUAACUUGCAAUAUCUCAUCUAAUCCUGAUGCGACCUGGUGACUUAUAUAUUACUAUCCUUUUACCAAUGAGGAAACUGAGGCUUGGAGAGCUCGAGGAGCAAGUCCAAAGUGGAACAGCCCGCGUGUGUGGAGCUGGGGCUUUGAGGCCAGGCCCGUGUCCUGCGAGGCCUCCCCAGACCCCGGACACAACACGAGUCGCAGAUGCUCAUGGUCCUCCGUGCAAACCCUGGGAGGAGAAGGUGACCACGGAUAGGACUCGUGUGCCACCUGAACAGUUGUUCCCAAAUUCCUCCUGUCUCUCUCCCUGGCUGUGUAGUCCCCACCUUUCAUGUUAGGUGUAGGAUCCCUCACUUUCUACGACCUCAGAACCUCCUGAAAAUGAAAAUGAUAAACCAACAAGCUUACCGUUUAUACAAUGCCAGCCACACAUUGAAAGCUCA